rnacentral:rRNA from 1 species
UACGUAGGGUGCAAGCGUUGUCCGGAAUUAUUGGGCGUAAAGCGCGCGUAGGCGGUUACUUAAGUCGGAUGUGAAAGCCCUCGGCUUAACUGAGGAAGUGCACCCGAAACUGAGUAGCUAGAGUACGAAAGAGGGUCGCGGAAUUCCCGGUGUAGAGGUGAAAUUCGUAAAUAUCGGGAGGAACACCGGUGGCGAAGGCGGCGACCUGGGUCGAGACUGACGCUGAGGCGCGAAAGCGUGGGGAGCAAACAGG